GAUGAACGCUGGCGGCGUGCCUAAUACAUGCCAGUCGAGCGAACGGACGAGAAGCUUGCUUCUCUGAUGUUAGCGGCGGACGGGUGAGUAACACGUGGAUAACCUACCUAUAAGACUGGGAUAACUUCGGGAAACCGUAGCUAAUACCGGAUAAUAUUUUGAACCGCAUGGUUCAAAAGUGAAAGACGGUCUUGCUGUCACUUAUAGAUGGAUCCGCGCUGCAUUAGCUAGUUGGUAAGGUAACGGCUUACCAAGGCAACGAUGCAUAGCCGACCUGAGAGGGUGAUCGGCCACACUGGAACUGAGACACGGUCCAGACUCCUACGGGAGGCAGCAGUAGGGAAUCUUCCGCAAUGGGCGAAAGCCUGACGGAGCAACGCCGCGUGAGUGAUGAAGGUCUUCGGAUCGUAAAACUCUGUUAUUAGGGAAGAACAUAUGUGUAAGUAACUGUGCAUAUCUUGACGGUACCUAAUCAGAAAGCCACGGCUAACUACGUG
rnacentral:rRNA from 1 species